GAUGAACGCUGGCGGCGUGCCUAAUACAUGCAAGUAGAACGCUGAAGGAAGGAGCUUGCUCUUUCCGGAUGAGUUGCGAACGGGUGAGUAACGCGUAGGUAACCUGCCUGGUAGCGGGGGAUAACUAUUGGAAACGAUAGCUAAUACCGCAUACAGUAGAUGUUGCAUGAUAUCUACUUAAAAGGUGCAAUUGCACCACUACCAGAUGGACCUGCGUUGUAUUAGCUAGUUGGUGAGGUAACGGCUCACCAAGGCGACGAUACAUAGCCGACCUGAGAGGGUGAUCGGCCACACUGGGACUGAGACACGGCCCAGACUCCUACGGGAGGCAGCAGUAGGGAAUCUUCGGCAAUGGACGGAAGGCUGACCGAGCAACGCCGCGUGAGUGAAGAAGGUUUUCGGAUCGUAAAGCUCUGUUGUAAGAGAAGAACGAGUGUGAGAGUGGAAAGUUCACACUGUGACGGUAUCUGACCAGAAAGGGACGGCUAACUACGUG
rnacentral:rRNA from 1 species